UCACUGCGGUCACGUGGUCCCGUUUUCUGCCGCGUGCGGGCAGAGGCCCCGCUCUCUGACGUCAUCAUCAUGAUCUCAGGGAGCGCGCGACCACAUGAAUGACCACAUUCAGAGCAGACAGGGAAGCGCGUGCUGCGGGUGACGUGCUCCGCGUGCGACAAAGACUCUCACCUGUCUUUGUCGCACGCGGUAGGUUGACCACGAGCGUGCGUCUUCUUCUUCUUCUUUUUAUUUGUCUCGUGUGUGAUUCUCUUGGAGCUCAGGAGGAACACGGUCGUCAUGGAGACAAACAACAACCUCACAGGAGUUGUCGGGAACGCGCAGAGGAAGCGGUGCCGCGUCUGGUUGACGCUUCCGCUCCACUAACCCGGACUCAUGCGGGUCAUCACAGACCGUCCCCUCUCUCACCGGUCGUUGGAAGAAGUCAAGUCAGUGAUAGGGAGGGAGAAGAGGAAGGAGAAGCUGGGAAGAGAAGCUCCGUGUGUCAUGUGUCCCAUGACCUUAAAGACAUGAUACGAACUGUCACAUACAUGUUGAUAUGUUUAACGGCCGUAUACCAGACAACAAAUCUACCAGUGAGGGUUUUUUGGUCCGGCCAGUAAUCGAGCCCUGAGUUAAACUGCCACGAGAAAAGACCUCAUCAAGUUUCUGUUCCUCUGUUAUUGCACAUUAAAAAAAAUUCUGAACGUCA